UGUUUUUAAAAGGACCAGAUGGCACAGGUUGAAUGCACACCUUCCAAUUUACUUCAGAAAGGCAGAUGUCCAUAGAGUAAAUUGACAAGCAGAAUCAUACCAAUUUCCAAUGGAAGCUGAUUGAAAACAAGAAUGUCCACAACAGCUGGCCAGUUCUAUUGAUUGUGGGAUCUUCAUGUUGUUGGUAAAAAAAGAAAGGG